rnacentral:rRNA from 1 species
ACGGCUCAGUAACACGUGGAUAACCUGCCCUUGGGUCCGGCAUAACUCCGGGAAACUGGGGAUAAUUCCGGAUAACGCACAUAUGCUGGAAUGCUUUAUGCGUAAAAUGGAUUCGUCUGCCCAAGGAUGGGUCUGCGGCCUAUCAGGUAGUAGUGGGUGUAAUGUACCUACUAGCCUACAACGGGUACGGGUUGUGAGAGCAAGAGCCCGGAGAUGGAUUCUGAGACAUGAAUCCAGGCCCUACGGGGCGCAGCAGGCGCGAAAACUUUACAAUGCGGGAAACCGUGAUAAGGGGACACCGAGUGCCAGCAUCAUAUGCUGGCUGUCCAGGUGUGUAAAAUACACCUGUUAGCAAGGGCCGGGCAAGACCGGUGCCAGCCGCCGCGGUAACACCGGCGGCCCGAGUGGUGAUCGUGAUUAUUGGGUCUAAAGGGUCCGUAGCCGGUUUGGUCAGUCCUCCGGGAAAUCUGACGGCUUAACCGUUAGGCUUUCGGGGGAUACUGCCAGGCUUGGAACCGGGAGAGGUAAGAGGUACUACAGGGGUAGGAGUGAAAUCUUGUAAUCCCUGUGGGACCACCUGUGGCGAAGGCGUCUUACCAGAACGGGUUCGACGGUGAGGGACGAAAGCUGGGGGCACGAACCGGAUUAGAUACCCGGGUAGUCCCAGCCGUAAACGAUGCUCGCUAGGUGUCAGGCAUGGCGCGACCGUGUCUGGUGCCGCAGGGAAGCCGUGAAGCGAGCCACCUGGGAAGUACGGCCGCAAGGCUGAAACUUAAAGGAAUUGGCGGGGGAGCAC